UGAAAAUACAACAAAUGAUUUCAUAAAAACCAUAACUCACUAAACGUGUUUCUUGAACAUAUCAUGUAGCAUUAUUAAGUCUGAUUUCUACCAAGGAUUAUUUUGGUCUACUGAUUUUACAAGUUUCAUGCCCCCUCACAUGAACAUUUUUUCAGUUAGAAAUCUGGCUAAGCAACAUCAUUGGUGAAACAUGGGCCCAUUUUGUCCAUAUUAGCACUCAAGCAAGGAAAACCAGCCAAAUGCAUUUGAUUAGAGAACAAAGUCCAUUCAGACACUUUAUUAUUAAAAAAAUUAAAAUUUAUGAUGCAGAAACAGCAAAAUUGGAAAAAUGCAAAUACAAUUGUGUAAUUAUCCCUACAUCUAACAACAGAUAAGUGCAUAAAACAAAAAUUUAACCACCAAAGAGAGAAAUAAUAUAAACAUUAUCUAGAGAUGAAUCAUGUGGCAAUAAUUUAAUCACUAGGUGAACUACGAAUACUUCUACUGUUUUGAAAAUCAGGUGGUAAAUUUAUCAUUGUCCAAUAUAGAAACAUGAAUGCAUACAUAUAGAAAAAUAGGCGAAUGCUAGCAAUAGGAAAAAUAGGCGAAUGCUAGCAAUAGGAAAAAUAGGCGAAUGCUAGCAAUAGGAGCAAAAAAGAGGAGAGGCAAAAUGAUGUGGACAGAAGUGGAAAAACUGAUUUAGCGCCAACAGCUCACAGAAUGUUUAAAUUGAAAAAGAAUAGUACAAUUGCAACUAGUCUGAUACUAGGAUUUAGUUAAAUUUUUUACUUAAACGUUGGAGACUUAGAUACACUGAAGAGCUUUUGCUAAUAUAAGUUGAUAAGAGGCAGUAGCAAACUUCACCUUAGAGAAGAAACAAGUAGAGGUAAGAUUACGUUGUUUUCCUAUUCUUCCUAAAAGAACAAUGAGAUAAUUUGUAAUACUUUGUCAUGGUCCAAACUAUACCUAUUAUUCUUUGGUUGCGCGUAGCUGCACAUAUUUGCCUACUACAUAAUGAAGGUGAAAAGGAGGUUACCAAAUCUUUUACUGUUACAACCUUAUAGAAUUGUUAAUGGCAUCUUAAAAACUUAACAAAAGGCAUUCUUCUCAAUGCCAUUCAUUAUUUUUAAUUUUUAAUGUUCAUAAAAUUCCUCAGAGGCAUGUCUCUAGCAUGUAUUUUGCAAGGACACAUAUUGUACACACCCCAAUACAAAUCCUAAAAGGAAAAUCUGAACUUGAUUUCCUGCAAAUCUUAGGCAUAGCUUGAGCAUGAAAAUCAAACACAUUUUGGACACUACCAGUUAUAGUUACA
rnacentral:misc_RNA from 1 species